AAGGAGAGCGAGACUGUAUGAGUGAGUGCGAGCAAGGGAAAGAGAGAGAGGGGGGGGGAAUGGGAGGUGCUGUAUCAGCCAGGCUGAGCCAGGAUGCAGUAGCCGCACAAGCAGCACGCUGAGCUGAGGGAUCUAUUGUUCCUCUGGCUUUUUUUAUUUUUUCUCCUCCACACAGACCUCAUUCUUUUCCACUGACCCAGAGAACACAGUGAAGAAGAAAUAAAAGGAGGAAAAAUAGAGGAGUUAGUGGAGAAAGAUAGAGACAAGUGGAUUACCCUUUCCUUGAGGAACCGCGUACAGAAGAGUGAAAGGGACAGUAACCGGCACACUUUCUCCUGUGCCGCAUCUUCUUGUGCAUAUAUCUCCUGCUGAGUGUGUGUGUAUUGUGCGGGUCUGUUUGGCCAGAUUUGAGACGUGUGGAUCUAUCUGGCCGGGCUGAAGCCAUGGGGCUGGCCAGCAGGGCGGCAGGAAGAGGGGGCACUUCAGCAGGGGCUCUUGACACCCUCUUCAGAGUAGCUCUGCUCUUUUUUGGGCUUUGGGAUGUCCAGACCCAAACAGUCGCCAACACAAAACCCACCUACAUCUGGCAAACAGGACCAUGGGGUAGGUGCAUGGGCAGCGAGUGUGGUCCGGGAGGAAGUCAAAGCCGAGCGGUAUGGUGUGCCCAUUCCGAGGGCUGGACCACUUUACACACCAACUGCCAGCAGUCGGAGCGACCCAGCAACCAACAGAGCUGCUUCCGGGUGUGCGAUUGGCACAAAGAGUUGUACGACUGGCAGCUAGGGGCCUGGAACCAGUGCGUGCCAGUGUCUAUGCGCAAUGUGGGCGUGCCAAGGCCAGCGGUGUGCACACGGGGCGAAGAGGGCAUCCAGACGCGGGAAGUGGGCUGCGUGCACAAAUCGGAUGGCGUUCCCGCAGAAGAUGCCAUCUGCGAGUACUUUGAGCCCAAGCCACGGUUGGAGCAGGCCUGCCUUAUCCCAUGCCCACGUGACUGCGUAGUGUCCGAAUUCUCCCCAUGGACAUCCUGCUCUAAGAGUUGUGGGAUGGGUCUGCAGAACCGCUUGCGAUGGGUUCUAGCCCCGCCCCUUUUUGGCGGUUCAGCUUGCCCCAACCUCACAGAGUUCCGCACCUGCCAGCCGGGCCCCUGUGAGGGUGAGGAGAGCCUGCACAGUCUGAGGGUGGGAUCCUGGGGCCCCUGCAUGGCUUCACCUAUACGACAGACCCGAGAGGCCAGAGAGCCCAAACCUGAACGGAAAGCAAAGCGAGAUCGGCAGGCCAGACUGGAACGCCAGGGCAAGCGUCGCAAGAACAAAGAGAAAAAGGAGGUGAAGGAAAACAAAGGAGAACGUGUGAAGGAUAGGGUCAGGGUGAAGGGAAGGAUGAGGGACCCUGAGACCAGAGAGCUCAUCAAGAAGAAGAGGACGAGGAAUCGUCAAAACCGCCAGGGGUUGAAGUUCUGGGACCUGCAGGUGGGCUACCAGACCCGGGAGGUGACGUGUGUUCACCGAAGCGGAAGCACAGCGGCGCUCAGCCAGUGUAACCAGCAGACUCUUCCUGUGACAUAUCAAGCGUGUGUCAUCCCAAAGGACUGUGAAGUAGCCGAGUGGUCGGACUGGUCUGCGUGCUCAAAGGAGUGCUAUGAUCUGAAUGGGCGUAUGGGACAGCGGACACGCACACGUCAGGUGAAGCAGUUCCAAGUGGGUGGAGGAGCCGAGUGUCCUGAGCUGGAGGAGACUGAACCAUGUUCUCCUCAAGGAGAAGGAAUCCCGCCAUGUAUAGUGUAUAAUUGGCGAACCACAGAGUGGAGCGAAUGCAGAGUGGAUGUGCUCCUCAGCCAACAGGACCGUCGCCGGAGCAACCAGACAGGGCUCUGCGGAGGCGGGGUUCAAACCAGGGAGGUCUACUGCGUUCAAGCCCCCACCGAAACCUCAUCUAACCUCAGCUCCCUUAAGAACAAAGAUGGUUUGCGGCCAGUGAACAGUGACCUGUGUUUGGGCGUUUCUCCUAACACCACCCAGCUCUGCCAUAUUCCCUGUCCUGUGGAGUGUGAGGUGUCCUCCUGGAGCGCAUGGGGGCCCUGCACCUUUGAAAACUGUCAGGAUCAGUCCACAAAGAAAGGUUUCAAACUGAGGAAAAGGAAAAUCAUGAAUGAGCCCACAGGUGGAACAGGAAAUUGUCCCCACCUGACGGAGGCAAUCCCCUGUGAGGAGCCCAGUUGCUAUGAAUGGCUGCUGGUGAAGCUGGAGGAGUGUGUGCCUGACAAUGACAAAGUAUGUGGACCGGGAACCCAGAACCCACAAGUACAGUGCGUCAACAGUGACGGUGAAUACAUGGACAGGCAGCUGUGCCGGGACGCCAUCCUUCCCAUGCCUGUGCUUUGUGAGGUGCCCUGCCCCAAAGACUGUGUGCUCAGUCCCUGGACUUCAUGGUCUCUGUGCUCCAACACCUGCUCAGGAAAGAACUCGGAGGGCAAGCAGACCAGAUCACGCUCCAUUCUGGCCUACAAUGCUGGGGACGGUGGAGGUCAGUGCCCCAACAGCAGCACCUUGCAGGAGGUCCGCAACUGCAAUGAUCAUCCCUGCACUGUGUACCACUGGCAGACGGGACCCUGGGGUCAGUGCAUAGAGGACACCUCCGCUCCGUCCGCCAACAGCUCGCUCAGCCGCACCGGAGCAGGAGUCGGCACUAAUGAGGCGUUCUGCACGGUUGGAAUGCAGACGCGUAAAGUCAUUUGUGUCCGGGUCAAUGUGGGCCAGGUGCCACCUAAGAAGUGCCCAGAGAGUCUGCGUCCAGAGACUGUAAGGCCGUGUCUUCUGCCCUGCAAGAGAGACUGCAUUGUCACUCCUUACAGUGACUGGACACCUUGCCCUUCCUCUUGCCAGACAGGUGGUGUCAUCAAAAAGAAGCAAUCAAGGAAACGCAUCAUCAUUCAGCUUCCAGCUAACGGGGGCCAAGACUGUCCAGAAGUGCUCUUCCAGGAGAAGGAAUGUGAUGCCUCAUCUGUUUGUCCAGGCUACAGGUGGAAAACCCACAAGUGGCGCAGGUGUCAGUUGGUGCCCUGGACCAUUCGUCAGGACAGUCCUGGAGCACAAGAGACCUGUGGACCAGGACUACAGGCUAGAGCCGUAUCGUGUAAAAAGUUGGAUGGAGGGCCUGCAGACAGCGCGGCCUGUCUUAAGUUUGCAGGUCCUAUGCCUCAACUCACUCAGUCCUGCCAGCUUCCAUGCCAGGACGACUGCCAGCUGACCACCUGGUCCAAAUUCUCAUCCUGCGCUGCUGAUUGUGUGGGGGUCCGAACUAGGAAAAGGACUCUUGUUGGUAAAAGCAAAAAGAGAGAACAAUGUAAAAACACACAGAUGUAUCCUCUGAGUGAAACCCAGUACUGCCCCUGCAACAAGUACAAUGCCCAGCCCGUGGGGAACUGGUCCGACUGCAUCCUGCCCGAGGGUGGGCGAGUAGAGGGCCUUUUGGGUAUGAAAGUUCAAGGAGAUAUCAAGGAGUGUGGCCAGGGUUACCGGUUUCAAGCCAUGGUGUGCUAUGACCAGGACAACCGCCUCGUGGAGACGUCACGCUGCAACAGUCACGGUUACAUAGAGGAAGCAUGUAUCAUCCCAUGUCCAUCUGACUGUAAGCUCAGCGAGUGGUCCAACUGGUCCCGUUGCAGUAAGUCCUGUGGCAGUGGGGUCAAAGUACGGUCCAAGUGGCUUCGGGAGAAACCUUAUAACGGUGGCAGACCCUGCCCCAAACUGGACCAUGUCAAUCAGGCUCAGGUGUAUGAAGUGGUACCAUGUCUGAGCGACUGCAGUCAGUAUGUCUGGGUGGCUGAGCCAUGGAGCGUCUGGAAGGUCAGUAAUGUUGAUCUGAAGGAGAACUGUGGGGAAGGUGUACAGACAAGGAAAGUCAGGUGCAUGCAGAACACUGUUGAUGGACCUUCAGACCCUGUAGAAGACUAUCUCUGUGAUCCAGAGGAGAUGCCGCUUGGAGCCAGAGAGAGCAAGUUGCCCUGUCCUGGGGACUGUGUUUUAACUGACUGGGGCCCUUGGAGUCGAUGCCCAUUGCCAUGCAAUUUGAAUAGUACAAGGCAGAGGACUGCCAGCCCUAUACGUCAGCCUGGGGCAGAGAAACAGUGUCCUUCAACUACAGAGAAAGAAACAUGCACCCUGAACACCAACUGCUUCUAUUACUCCUAUAAUAUUACAGACUGGAGCACAUGUCAGCUGAGUGAACGAGCCGUAUGUGGGGUUGGAUUCAAAACACGCAUGCUUGACUGUGUUCGCAGUGAUGGCAAGUCUGUAGACCUCAAGUUUUGCGAGGAGCUUGGUCUUGAGAAAAAAUGGCAGAUGAAUGCUUCCUGUGUGGUCGAGUGCCCUGUCAACUGCCAGCUGUCUGAUUGGUCGUCCUGGUCUGAAUGCUCUCACACCUGCGGUCUUGCAGGGAAGCUCUGGAGAAGGAGAACUGUGAUCCAGGCCUCUCAGGGAGAUGGCCGGCCAUGUUCCCCACAGCUGGAACAGUGGAAGCCCUGUCCUGUUAAACCCUGCUACAGCUGGAGGUACAGCGCCUGGUCUCCAUGCAAAUCUGAGGGCGCACGGUGUGGAGAGGGCCUGCGCUUCAGGAACAUGUCCUGCUUUGUGUCUGAUGGCUCGGGGAAGGAUCCGGGCAGUAUGGUGGAUGAGGAACUGUGUGGAGACCUGGAGCAGACUGUGGAUGGGGACAAACAGAUCAUCCUGCAGGAGUCCUGCACAGUGCCCUGUCCAGGUGAGUGUUACCUGACAGAGUGGACAGUGUGGAGCCCGUGUCAGCUGAGCUGUAUCAGCGGGGACGAUCUGGGAUUCGGUUCAGUGCAGGUGCGUUCUCGUGCUGUUCUAGCCCAGGAACCUGAAAACCUUCUUCAGUGUCCAGAACAAGAAUGGGAACCCAGGCCAUGUACAGAGGGCCAGUGUUAUGAGUACAAAUGGAUGACCAGUCCAUGGAAAGGCUCGUCUCGACAAGUCUGGUGCCAGCGCUCUGAUGGACUGAAUGUCACAGGUGGAUGCCCGUUGACAAGCGAGCCGGUGUCUGACAGAUCAUGUGACCCAGCCUGCGACAAACCCCGCUCCUACUGCACUGAGGCUGGAGUAUGCGGCUGCGAUGAGGGUUACACUGAGGUAAUGACUUCUGAUGGAGUUUUGGACCAGUGCACGGUCAUACCGGUGCUUGAGAUCCCCACCGCAGGAGACAAUAAGGCUGACGUGAAGACGAUCCGAGCCCUCAACCCCACUCAGUCCACCGCCAACCUGCCAGGCCGCUCCGGACGCACCUGGUUCCUCCAACCCUUCGGACCCGAUGGCAAACUGAAGACCUGGGUGUAUGGUGUGGCAGCUGGAGCUUUUGUACUGCUGGUGUUCGUUGUCUCUAUGACUUACUUAGCCUGUUUUUGUAUGCUGGCCCGGCGCUCUCCUCCGAGCCCGGACCCUUCCAUUACCUCUGUGGUUUGGGUCGGACCCAACGACCAAGAACUGAUAUAUACCUGUCCUGACUGUCAGCGCAUUGAGACUCAGUUCAACUAGAGCUCUCAGCUCAGUCCAUUCCCUAAUGGCCAUCCUGUCCAACACCUGUGCCUUCUCACUGUCACAUGUGCCUUUCUGACCAAUCACAUGGAGCUGUUUGGUGGAGCAAAAAGCCAAAGAAGCCCCAGAGAAGACAGAUGAACAACAGACUCAAGCCUCUGACGCUGGCUUAUGACGGCGACGCUGACAUGUAGCCUAACCACGUCUGCUUCAAACUACAGACACUCGCCUCCUUUCACAGUCGGCCAUCGGUACGAGCCUCAAACGAGGAGACUCGCGCGAACUCACCGACUGCUUUUUAUAAGACGCUAACGGAACCUCAGAGAGAGAGACUCGAUCUGUGUUUAUAUAACGUUUCUCCCCCCUCCUUUUUUUUACGUUCAACUUUUUCGACUUUUAUUUCACAAGAGCCUUCAUAAACUCUUCAAAAAUCUUCUUCAGGGAGUCUGCCUUCACCUCUCUGCUAUCGACGUCUUUCUGUAACAUAGACUUUAGUCUUUCGGGAGGAAAGUUGCAGGACCUUUUUGAAAUUGCGAAGUUUUUUUUUUUGCUGAGAAAGGACACAGAAUGCCCGCCUCCUGUUUAGUCGCACUUCAUGUCAGCUCCUGCAAUAUCUACAUUGUCUGUUGGGCGGUCGCACGUUCAGACAAACUAAAUAAACAAUAGCAUUUUCAGCCCCGAAACGCUCAAUAUUGUGUGAUCAGAAUGAUAAAAGACUGCCGAUUGAAUGGGCUCACUAGCGCCCCCUAUAGAAACUCUGGCCUGCCUUUCCCCUUUUCUGUAUCCAGUCUCCAUUUUGCACUAUAUUAGUGCAGCAUGAACAUUUACUUAUUGCAUUGCCAUAGAACACUGCCUCUCGCAAAACAAGAUGAUGUACAGUCUUGUGCUAGACACGUUUCUUUUUGAAAAAAAAAAAAAAAAAGCGAGCAAGAGAGAACAAAAGUAGCCCUUUUUCUUCUGAUGGAACUCACUGGUGUUUGUUUAUACGUACUUGUUUACUGGUUCCCUUCUGUUUGUGAUAAAGGGGCCGUUGAAACGUUUUUUUUGUGGACUCCACAAA